rnacentral:rRNA from 1 species
GCCUUUAAUCAACUUACACAUGCAAGUAUCCGCACUCCCGUGAAAAUGCCCCCAGUUCUCUACUAAAGAACAAGGAGCUGGUAUCAGGCACAUAUACUUUAUAGCCCAUAACGCCUUGCUCAGCCACACCCCCAAGGGAAUCCAGCAGUGAUAAACAUUAGGCAAUAAGUGAAAACUUGACUUAGUUAUGGUUAAAAGAGUCGGUAAAACUCGUGCCAGCUACCGCGGUUAAACGAGCGACUCAAGUUGAUGGGUCACGGCGUAAAGGGUGGUUAGGAUUAGAUAUAAACUAAGGCCGAACACUUACAGAGCUGUUAUACGCUUCCGAACGUAAGAAGAGCAUCUACGAAAGUGGCCUUAAUAUUCCUGAACCCACGAAAGCUAAGGUACAAACUGGGAUUAGAUACCCCACUAUGCUUAGCCCUAAACAUUGAUAGUAUCGUACACCCACUAUCCGCCCGGGAACUACGAGCAUUAGCUUGAAACCCAAAGGACUUGGCGGUGCUUUAGACCCAUCUAGAGGAGCCUGUCUUAAAAACCGAAAA